GUUCCAUGUUUACGAAUAAUUUAUUUCACACCGGAAGAUAUCAACCGGAAGAUCUCAACGAAAUAAAUUUCAGUUCGUGGUAAAUUCGAGAGUAUGACAGGAAAAUUAUAGAGGAAAUUGCAAGGGAGGAUUAGCUCGCCUGCAAGCCUUCCAUCAACUCUGCAUAUUCGUCCUUCAGGUUUUCUACUUUCUCCAUCAAUAUCAACUUUUUAACGAAAGCCGGGGCAAAAAGCUUGUGAUUGGAUAUUCCUGGAGGACCUUUAACUUGACAUAAUAGUAAUUUGCGUAAUUCUUUGGAAUUAUGGAUCAUAAGAAACGGAACAAAAUGGACCACAAAGUAAAAUGGGACUUUCAGGUAAAAAUUACGAAGACAAACUGAGGCUAGAGACGACCAUGAGAAAAUGAGAUUAGAGACAACGCUAAUAUUCAACGAUGGGCUAAUCUACACUGUCUUUAGGAAACGACAAGAGGACAACUGAAAUUUAUUAAUUAAUGGCACUAUCCGCUCAGUAGAGGAGCUGCCUUCCUUUCAAAAAUCCAAAGUUGCAAAGCUGUAGGACAGUUCGAAGUGACUCACACUGCUGAUUUCAACGUUCAAACAAUAAAUAACAAACAACUGAAAAGAUAUACAAAAGUAAAUCUCACGAUUCGGAAUUAAUCUCAGACUGUGUAUAGCAUGGCCAAAGCUCCAAAAGCAAAUCCAGUAUGCCAACAAGCUCUGUAUCCUGACAUAUAUUACGAAUACCAGCCUGAAUUUGGUGUAUGGUCAGUUUAUUUCGAAAAUUUCAAUGAACUUUCGAUCGGGAAAAUAACAAAAAUAUUCAAAAAAUAUGGAACUAUAAAGAACGUGAGUCAGACUGGUUCCUCUCAGGGCUAUUGUUUCGUAAGCUAUUGGCUCGAAGAAGACGCUAAAAAUUGUGUCUUACAAAGUAGCAGAGAUGGAAUUAAAUUGCGAUCAUUCUCCCCGAAAAUUCGCCGGAUGAAGGACAAACGGCUGUCGGAGGAUUCAGAAAUAUUUGAAGUAAUGAAGAAAAAACCAUUAAGAAGUGGUAAUGUCACUCAAUGUUGUAACAACAAUGACAAUAAUAAUUCGAAAAUCGAUGGAACUCCUCACAACGAUCAGCAUAAAUAUGAAAAUUAUUACGAAAACAAAUCUGUGUUUUUUGCAAAUACAAAAAAGUUAUCUAAAAAUAGAAUUCGACAGAUAUUUUCAAAAUACGGACACAUCGAGACUGUUCAGCAGACUGGACCCGCCACUGGUUGGUGCUUUGUUAGGUUUGUGUCUGAGCAGUGUGCAAGAAAAUGUGCAAUGGACGCCGUGAAUAACAAUAUUAUACCGUUGGAGAAGUUUGAGUCGAUAUCUACUCUCAGAGCAAGGAGACAAGAGAAGCGAAUGAGAAAAGAGAUGGAGCAAUAUUUUUCCAAUAACUCCGACGAUUUUUAUGGCUCACUAGUUGGGAGCUUUGAGGACAGCCCAGGGCUUGGAACCCAGUGUUUCCAAGAGAUUGAGCCAGAAAUCUGGAGUAAACCUGAUGACAAGAUGGAGAACAAUCGUGAGAAGAUGCUUAUGAUAUUGAAAAAACAUACGAAAGAUCUUCCCAAGACGGUGCAGAAGGUCAUCAUGGUAUCUGGGAAGUAUUUUUAUGUUCCCAUGGAUUCCAGGAUUCCUUGGAAAAAAUUGAAAACUGUUGUGGUGGAGGACGUACAUGCUGAGAGAAUUAUUGUGGCGAAUAUUCACGAGACCUGUGACGCUGAUUUUUUUGGAAAACUUUUUGAGAAAUAUCAACCGAUUUUUGUGACAAAGAUUAAGGAGAUUGGAAAUGGAUCAUUGAACUACUGUCAUGUUUACGUGCAAACUGACUCCUUCGCUAGUGCUGCAGUGAAGAAUUUUGAUAAUCUAAAUGUUUAUGGGAAGAAUCUCAUUGUUGUUAGACCCGAAUCAUUGAUUGAUGGGUAGAAGGUAUUGCGAGGACAUAACUUGUUAAGUUUGACCUCGAGCCUUAGGUAUCGAACAAAUUUUAUUGAUGAAUAUCGAUCGUGAUGAAGGACUUUGUAUACGCUUACUUGUUCAGUGAAAAUAUCACUGCGCAAAAACAAUGAUAAAAGUUUGCAAACAUCAAAUUACCUGAGAACAGGAGUAAAAGCGAACUAUGAGUAAUUAUCGAGAUGAUUAUUGUUAUGUAAUUCCAGAGGAAUAUACAGUUGUUGUUAAGCAGAAGUUGAAUAAAUGAUUUAUACUGUUGAUAAUGACGACUUUUUAUAAUUUUCAGAUAAGUUAUAUUCAAUUUUGUACAUCUUCUGGCUGUGAAAAUUAAUGACCUGAUAACUUGUGAGCAAAAAUAAAAGCUAAAGGUUUAUUCCAAGUUCAUAGGUUCCAAAGACAAACUCAUGGGACUUUCAGAGGUGGGAGAGGUGGGAGAUGGGAAUACGAAUGGAGAUGAGGCGGAGUGGGAGAUAAAUCCAUCCGUUCAAUUGUACCUUAGAAGCAGAGAAAAUUCCAACGACAACAAACACAUUCUCAUAUCCUUACGCCUGUAUCUCGUAUCACCACCACCAGCGAAGAAGAAUCUUUGGUCUGAGGGGGGGUCUUUCAGUUGAAGCUAAACUCGAGGGAGUAGGGGUGCCUAACCACGAUCUUCUUUUUUAGGCUACAUUAUACAAAUUCACCUGUGAAUCCUUUCAGUGAUUCCAUUGUUUAAGCAAAGUACAGAAUUUCAGCAACAGGAUCACCUCUGAAUUGAUCCUCACAAAUAAAUCAGAUCGAGAAAUACCCGAAUAUCGUUGGAAAAUGGCUUCCAUAGCGGCCAAAGUCAUAAGUGAUUUCUAUAAGUACCGUACCGAUUACGACGGUUACACCGUUUACUUUGAAAAUACCAAGCACUACACGAAGAAGGAGGUCCGGCGAAUUUUCACAAAGUAUGGAGCUGUGAGGAAAGUUGCUCAAAGUGAAGUUUACCUGUGUAGUCACUGUUUUGUGGCAUUUGUCUACGAAGAGGACGCAAGAAAAUGCAUCGAAUCGAUGAAUAACAGUGGAGAUAUUCAGCUCUUGACGAUCACUCGGGGAAGAGUACGACCCCCUCAUCUGCUGGAUAAAAACCGAGGGAGGCCAGGGAAUAAUGUCAAUCGUAUUCCUGUUGGAGUGAAGAUUGUGAAGAAGGAUGAUGGCACGUACAAAGGCAAAAAGCGGCCAAUUAACGGACAAAGUAAUGUCCCAAUAAACCCCAAAGUCGUGAAGAAUACUCCAAAAAUCGUUCAUCAGACCUCCAGUGGACGCCUUAGAUCCGUCGAAGCCGUCACCAGAGAGGAGACUCAUCCAGUGGUGAAUCUUGACUGCAAUGAGAACAUUCUGGACGAGUUCUUUCAAGUAUCUUGCGAAUUUACCGAUUUGCGACAGGAUGAACGCAAAGAAGUAAUGGUUCAUCUGAAUGAGAUUCUAGGUGAUCUUCCCCAUGUGAUACAGAGAGUAACGUCUGCCAGUGCCCCUGGACAACUCGGAAGGUCAUUCUAUGUUCCCCUGAAGUCUCGCAUCCCUUGGAGGAUAAUCCGCAGCGUUAGAGUCGAAGAAAUACCGGCGUUUCCAGUUGUCAUUGCAAAUGUUCAUGAAAUAUGUAAUGUAGAGUUCAUAAUGGAACUGUUGGGAUCGUAUGAACCAAUGGUUGGAUCCAAGAUGAAGACUAUUUCGGGAUCUUUGAUGCGAUACUGCUGGGUGUAUUUCAAAACUACACAGAUUGCGGAGGCGGUGGAGACGAGCUUCGAUAAUGAAAAAAUAUGUGGGAAUCGACUACUCGUGAGGAGGGUGUGGGCGCUGAGGGAGAACUGAUGCAUAGGCAAGUGAUUGAAAUUUGUUGGGGGAAAAAGAUAAGAUUGAGAGUGAUAAUAUGGAGAUAAAAUAAAUAAGAUCGAAGAAUAUAAUAACGUGAUGUGCUCAGCCCCAUUUGCAAGGGGAUUUUCUUAUGACAGGAGGUGAUCUGAUUUUUUUUCGAUUUUCUGAGGGUUUGUACAAGUGCAGAAAGAUGUUUUGUUAAUUUCUGUUGUAGUUAAUCGUUGAUAUUGCAUUGAUUUACGUGGGUGCAUAGUUGGGUUAAGAGUUGAAUGAACAUGUAUUUUGGCAGCUUAAGGUAUUUGUGGGGUCAUCAGGGAUAAUUGAGAAAAACUAAGAAGUUGGGGAUUUUUUGGAAAUGUGGUGGUUGACGUUUUUCAAAAUUUGCGACAGUUUAGGAGAAUUGGAACAAAGAAAAUAAUUUAUAAUACUCACGCAGCAUUUUUAUUUAUACUGUCUACGCGUGGAUAAGGUAAAAAACAGUAGAAUUAUCAAUAUUCCAUUCAAUCGGAUAUUAUUCCAUAUAUUAAAUAACAUAAAUAAUUUAUAAAAAAUCAUCAAGAUCUUGAUUUGUUUAUUUGCCUGAUGACACCACAGAUAUGUUAAUUAAUAUUUUACAUUCAGGAAAAUUUUAAUCUCAUGCAGACGUUUUGAAAGGUUUUAAAAAUAUCUUCAAAAGUUGUGUGAUCAUAAAAUAGUAAUUUUUACGGCACAGAAAAAUAAUUAUUUUUGCUAAAUCUUCGGUUACUUCAAUAUGUUCUGAUAAUUCCGUAAAAAUUAAUCAUUUGACAGCCAAUUGCUCGCUUUCAACUGUGAAGAAUCGAAUACUUAACGAAUGAUUCCUUACGAGUGACUUUUCAAGACGUUUUUCUGUACUUGUGAAAAUUUUCCUGAUAAAAAUAUUCUCUGUGUAUAGCACUGCUCAGCAGCUGAAUUAUCAUAUAAUUACGUCCUCUCAAUCCUAGGAUGGAUUAAUUAUGAGUUACGGUUUUGCUUUCAUCACGAUGCACAAGAUUUAUUUGUUUCUCUUCGGUUUUAUUUUUUUAUGAAUUUACGAUUUAUUAUUCCUUGUAUGUGGUCAUUGUGAUAGUUAACAGGACCAUUGAAGAUCUCAAUUAUUAAAAAAAACAUUAGUUUAAGGCAGCGCUGCGUGUAAUUAUUAAAAACGAGCCAUUUCUGGUAUGUUAAGCAUACUAAAUAAGUCAAGGUCAAGUUAAACAUGAAAUCAAUAAAUGUAAUUGGUAUAAGAGUCUUGACACAAGUUAAUCGUAUGUAAUCUAUGAAUAUUUAUAGAAUGUGAGGUUUAAUACAUAGAAAAUCCAAGUUAUCACUGAGAAAAAGUAAUCUGGAUUCUGAUGAGAUGUUAAUAUUUUAAAUAGUAUGGACUUUAUGAUUUAGUUGCAUUUAUCUGAUGAGUACUUUUAUUUUUGCAAUUUAUAACGGCUUUAAUUCUUGGAUAGUAGUAUGAAAAGUCGUGGAGUAAAUCGCACCGGUCAUUGUUUUUCUACAAAAGAACUAGAUAAAUAUGGUGAAAUUUUUUUUAUAUUUUAUAUAAUUGUGAAGAUAUUCUAUUGUUAUUUUUUCAUAUAUAAAAAGUUUUGUGAAAUCAUGAAUAAACGUUUUCUUGCAAAAUAA